rnacentral:rRNA from 1 species
GACGAACGCUGGCGGCGCGCCUAACACAUGCAAGUCGAACGAGCGAGAGAGAGCUUGCUUUCUCAAGCGAGUGGCGAACGGGUGAGUAACGCGUGAGGAACCUGCCUCAAAGAGGGGGACAACAGUUGGAAACGACUGCUAAUACCGCAUAAGCCCACGGCUCGGCAUCGAGCAGAGGGAAAAGGAGCAAUCCGCUUUGAGAUGGCCUCGCGUCCGAUUAGCUGGUUGGUGAGGUAAUGGCCCACCAAGGCGACGAUCGGUAGCCGGACUGAGAGGUUGAACGGCCACAUUGGGACUGAGACACGGCCCAGACUCCUACGGGAGGCAGCAGUGGGGAAUAUUGCACAAUGGGGGAAACCCUGAUGCAGCGACGCCGCGUGGAGGAAGAAGGUCUUCGGAUUGUAAACUCCUGUUGUUGAGGAAGAUAAUGACGGUACUCAACAAGGAAGUGACGGCUAACUACGCGCCAGCAGCCGCGGUAAAACGUAGGUCACAAGCGUUGUCCGGAAUUACUGGGUGUAAAGGGAGCGCAGGCGGGAAGACAAGUUGGAAGUGAAAUCCAUGGGCUCAACCCAUGAACUGCUUUCAAAACUGUUUUUCUUGAGUAGUGCAGAGGUAGGCGGAAUUCCCGGUGUAGCGGUGGAAUGCGUAGAUAUCGGGAGGAACACCAGUGGCGAAGGCGGCCUACUGGGCACCAACUGACGCUGAGGCUCGAAAGUGUGGGUAGCAAACAGGAUUAGAUACCCUGGUAGUCCACACUGUAAACGAUGAUUACUAGGUGUUGGAGGAUUGACCCCUUCAGUGCCGCAGUUAACACAAUAGUAAUCCACCUGGGGAGUACGACCGCAAGGUUGAAACUCAAAGGAAUUGACGGGGGCCCGCACAAGCAGUGGAGUAUGUGGUUUAAUUUGACGCAACGCGAAGAACCUUACCAAGUCUUGACAUCCUGCGACGCACAUAGAAAUAUGUGUUUCCUUCGGGACGCAGAGACAGGUGGUGCAUGGUUGUCGUCAGCUCGUGUCGUGAGAUGUUGGGUUAAGUCCCGCAACGAGCGCAACCCUUAUGGUCAGUUACUACGCAAGAGGACUCUGGCCAGACUGCCGUUGACAAAACGGAGGAAGGUGGGGAGGACGUCAAAUCAUCAUGCCCUUUAUGACUCGGGCUACACACGUACUACAAUGGCGUUAAACAAAGAGAAGCAAGACCGCGAGGUGGAGCAAAACUCAGAAACAACGUCCCAGUUCGGACUGCAGGCUGCAACUCGCCUGCACGAAGUCGGAAUUGCUAGUAAUCGCAGAUCAGCAUGCUGCGGUGAAUAAAAUCCCGGGCCUUGUACU